UAAAAUCCCUAGGAGGGAAAAUUGCAGACUUUAACAUGAAGUCCUUACUCUUUGGAGUAGGGCUGUUCUGCAGUUCUGCUCUGCUGGAUUUCAUC